UACGUAGGCAGCGAGCGUUGUUCGGAAUUACUGGGCGUAAAGAGUGUGUAGGCGGUGCUCUAAGUUCGGUGUGAAAUCUCCCGGCUUAACUGGGAGGGUGCGCCGGAAACUGGAGUGCUCGAACGUGGGAGAGGAAAGCGGAAUUCCUGGUGUAGCGGUGAAAUGCGUAGAUAUCAGGAGGAACACCGAUGGCGAAGGCAGAUCUCUGGGCCGUAACUGACGCUGAGGAGCGAAAGCGUGGGGAGCGAACAGG
rnacentral:rRNA from 1 species